rnacentral:tRNA from 1 species
GAUAGUGUGGCCGAGUGUUCUAUAGCGAUGGUUUUAGGCAACAGUCUCUUCGUAGUCGAGGGUUCGAAUCCCUUCGCUGUCA